rfam:Fonticula alba strain ATCC 38817 mitochondrial scaffold supercont2.214, whole genome shotgun sequence.
GGAAAGGUGGCAGAAUGGUUAAUGCAUCAGUUUGCUAAACUGACGACUUUUGGUCUUAUGGGUUCGAGUCCCAUCCUUUCUA